rnacentral:rRNA from 1 species
UACGUAGGGGGCAAGCGUUGUCCGGAAUUAUUGGGCGUAAAGAGCUCGUAGGCGGUCUGUCGCGUCGGCUGUGAAAACCCGGAGCUCAACUCCGGGCCUGCAGUCGAUACGGGCAAACUGGAGUGUUGCAGGGGAGACUGGAAUUCCUGGUGUAGCGGUGAAAUGCGCAGAUAUCAGGAGGAACACCGGUGGCGAAGGCGGGUCUCUGGGCAACAACUGACGCUGAGGAGCGAAAGCGUGGGGAGCGAACAGG